rnacentral:rRNA from 1 species
UACGAAGGGGGCUAGCGUUGCUCGGAAUCACUGGGCGUAAAGGGCGCGUAGGCGGCGUUUUUAAGUCGGGGGUGAAAGCCCGGGGCUCAACUCCGGAAUUGCCUUUAAGACUGCAUCGCUAGAAUUGUGGAGAGGUAAGUGGAAUUCCGAGUGUAGAGGUGAAAUUCGUAGAUAUUCGGAAGAACACCAGUGGCGAAGGCGACUUACUGGACACAUAUUGACGCUGAGGUGCGAAAGCGUGGGGAGCAAACAGG